AUAAACUGGCAUGUUCUGAAAGAAUCACUCUGGAUGCUAUGUGGAGAAAACACUGAAAAGCACCUGUUGUUUCCUGACUUUUUAAUGAUCGCCAUUCUAACUGGUGUGAGAUGAUAUCUCAUUGUGGUUUUGAUUUGCAUUUCUCUGAUGGCCAGUGAUGAUGAGCAUUUUUUCAUGUGUCUGUUGGUUGCAUAAAUGAAUAGACUAAGAUUUCAGUGAUUGAGUCUCAUGGCAUGUGAUAAAGAGUUAGUGAUAAAGAUUUAAAUGGCACAUAACAUCAUCCCAAUUGAAUGCAUCGGGGGGUCAUGAUGCUGUGUGGGUUUGAAAUGGAAAUUACAAGCGCGAUAUUACAGAAGUGUGGAUUUUAGUUACAAUGUCUCUAUGAGAAAAGUCUAAAAGUUAAACAUAAGCAAAACAACAAAAACAUCUAAAUACCAGACACUAUCCUCAGAAAUUAGAUUUGAAAAAUGAGCUUCAUUUUCGAAGAACAUAUUGAAUUUGUUAUCUCGAUUAUGGAGGGCGACAAGUCCCACAGUCUGCCAUCUGCA
rnacentral:lncRNA from 1 species